UACGAAGGGGGCUAGCGUUGUUCGGAAUCACGGGGCGUAAAGCGCACGUCGGCGGACUUUCAAGUCAGGGGUGAAAUCCCGGGGCUCAACCUCGGAACUGCCUUUGAUACUGUUGGUCUCGAGCCCGGAAGAGGUGGGUGGAAUUCCUAGUGUAGAGGUGAAAUUCGUAGAUAUUAGGAAGAACACCAGUGGCGAAGGCGGCCCACUGGUCCGGUGCUGACGCUGAGGUGCGAAAGCGUGGGGAGCAAAUAGG
rnacentral:rRNA from 1 species